CUUUGUUGUCCGUCCAUUUGUCCGUCUGUCUGUCAAGACCCUUUAUCUCAGGAACGCGUGGAGGUAUCAAGUUGAAAUUAAUACCAUAUACUCAGGUCUAUAGUCCCUUGGAGCUGUGAAAAAAGCUAAGUUGACGUAAAAAAAAGAUAUGGGCAUUUAUGCCUCAAAAAC